UUUUUGGAGUUUCCUUCAAAGUUUUAAAACACGUCUGUUAGAACAAGUGACUCGUGGCACAGAAAGGAACGGUCGAGGGGUCGAGGGUGUCUACUGUCGUGUAAGUGCUCUAAAUUCUGUAUGUUUUCUGAGUAUUGAUUUGUAGAAAAAAAUGCUAUACCUUAACCUUUCGACUGUGACAAAGAGGUGGUUGGAUCUAGGAUGAAGCAUCAUGAACAUCUGGCAUUAAAGGCUGCCUUUGGACGUGGAUAAUGAAGAUGAAAGCUGUUGAAAUCCUGAUGACUCAAAUAACUCUUAUUUGGGUGAUUCUUGUAAAGUAAAUACAAUGUAUUGUUAAAAGUUCUUCAAUUUUGUAGGAAUAUCAUUUAAUAUUC